GAUGAACGCUGGCGGCGUGCCUAACACAUGCAAGUCGAGCGAUUCUCUUCGGAGAAGAGCGGCGGACGGGUGAGUAACGCGUGGGUAACCUGCCCUGUACACACGGAUAACAUACCGAAAGGUAUGCUAAUACGGGAUAACAUAAGAAAUUCGCAUGUUUUUCUUAUCAAAUCUCCGGCGGUACAGGAUGGACCCGCGUCUGAUUAGCUAGUUGGUGAAGUAACGGCUCACCAAGGCGACGAUCAGUAGCCGUCCUGAGAGGGUGAUCGGCCACAGUGGAACGGAGACACGGCUCAAACUACUACGGGAGGCAGCAGUGGGGAAUAGUGCACAAUGGGCGAAGGCCUGAUGCAGCAACGCCGUGGGGGCGAUGAAGGGCUUCUGGUCGUAAAGCUCUGUCCUCGAGGAAGAUAAUGACGGUACUUGAGGAGGAAGCCCCGGCUAUGUACGAGCAAGCCGCCGCCGUAACAC
rnacentral:rRNA from 1 species